AUAGUUAGCUGGCAGGGGAGAGACCAUGAUCACAAAGUGGUUUCCCCAGAGCGUGGCUUAUCCAUUGCAUACAGGAUGUGCUGACCCCCAUGAUUUCCCCGAAUGUGGGAAACUUGAGUGCAUAACUUGUGGUAGUGGGGGACUGCAUUCGCACUCUCCCCUG
ensembl:snRNA U1 U1 spliceosomal RNA